ACUCAAAUGAAUAGACGGGAGCCCGCACAAGCGGUGGAGCAUGUGGUUUAAUUCGAUGCAACGCGAAGAACCUUACCUGGGCUCGAAGUGUAGUGUAAACUCAUGAAAGUGAGGUAUUCCUUCGGGAAGCGCUACAUAGGUGCUGCAUGGCUGUCGUCAGCUCGUGUCGUGAGAUGUUGGGUUAAGUCCCGCAACGAGCGCAACCCUUGUCCUUAGUUGCCAUCAGGUAAAGCUGGGAACUCUAAGGAGACUGCCGGCGUUAAGUCGGAGGAAGGUGGGGAUGACGUCAAGUCCUCAUGGCCCUUACGUCCAGGGCUACACACGUGCUACAAUGGCUGGUACAAAACGUCGCAAAACCGCGAGGUCAAGCUAAUCGUAAAAAACCAGUCUCAGUUCGGAUUGUACUCUGCAACUCGAGUACAUGAAGUUGGAAUCGCUAGUAAACGCGAAUCAGCAGGUCGCGUUGAAUACGUUCCCGGGCUUUGUACACACCGCCCGU
rnacentral:rRNA from 1 species